rfam:Gossypium raimondii chromosome 4, whole genome shotgun sequence.
AUUCCAUGAUGAAGGCACUUCCAUAAUAAUUCUUUGUACCUUUCCCAUGCCUGAUACCAUGACUCAUCAUCCAUUUGUUGGAAAGAAGUGAUCUUGUUCCUCAACUU